rnacentral:rRNA from 1 species
UACGUAGGGGGCUAGCGUUGUCCGGAAUCAUUGGGCGUAAAGCGCGCGUAGGCGGCCCGGUAAGUCCGCUGUGAAAGUCAAAGGCUCAACCUUUGAAUGUCAGCGGAUACUGCCGGGCUAGAGUCCGGAAGAGGCGAGUGGAAUUCCUGGUGUAGCAGUGAAAUGCGUAGAGAUCAUGAGGAAGACCAGUGGCGAAGGCGGGUCUCUGGACAGUUCCUGACACUGAGGCACGAAGGCCAGGGGAGCAAACGGG